rnacentral:rRNA from 1 species
AACGAACGCUGGCGGCAUGCCUAACACAUGCAAGUCGAACGAGACCUUCGGGUCUAGUGGCGCACGGGUGCGUAACGCGUGGGAACCUGCCCUUAGGUUCGGAAUAACUCCCCGAAAGGGGUGCUAAUACCGGAUAAUGUCUUCGGACCAAAGAUUUAUCGCCUUUGGAUGGGCCCGCGUUAGAUUCGCUAGUUGGUAGUGUAAAAGCCUGCCAAGGCGACGAUCCAUAGCUGGUCUGAGAGGAUGAUCAGCCACACUGGGACUGAGACACGGCCCAGACUCCUACGGGAGGCAGCAGUGGGGAAUAUUGGACAAUGGACGAAAGCCUGAUACAGCAAUGCCGCGUGAGUGAGGAAGGCCGUAGGGUUGUAAAGCUCUUUUACCCGGGAUGAUAAUGACAGUACCGGGAGAAUAAGCUCCGGCUAACUCCGUG